UACGUAGGGUGCGAGCGUUAAUCGGAAUUACUGGGCGUAAAGCGUGCGCAGGCGGUUUUGUAAGCCGGAUGUGAAAUCCCCGGGCUUAACCUGGGAAUGGCAUUCGGGACUGCAAGGCUGGAGUGCGGCAGAGGAGACUGGAAUUCCCGGUGUAGCGGUGGAAUGCGUAGAGAUCGGGAAGAACAUCAGUGGCGAAGGCGGCCUGCUGGGCUGUUGCUGACGCUGAGGCGCGACAGCGUGGGGAGCAAACAGG
rnacentral:rRNA from 1 species